GCUCAGGAUGAACGCUGGCGGCGUGCCUAAUACAUGCAAGUCGAACGCUGGAGAUCUAGCUUGCUAGAUCGAAGGAGUGGCGAACGGGUGAGUAAUACAUAAGCAACCUACCCACGAAGACUGGGAUAAUCUCUGGAAACGGGGACUAAUACCGGAUAGGUAAUCGGAAGGCAUCUUCUGGUUAUUAAAGGUUAAAAACACUGGUGGAUGGGCUUAUGGCGCAUUAGUUAGUUGGUGAGGUAACGGCCCACCAAGACGAUGAUGCGUAGCCGGCCUGAGAGGGUGAACGGCCACAUUGGGACUGAGACACGGCCCAGACUCCUACGGGAGGCAGCAGUA
rnacentral:rRNA from 1 species